rnacentral:rRNA from 1 species
ACACCGGCAGCCCAAGUGGUGGCCAUUUUUAUUGGGUCUAAAGGGUCUGUAGCCGGCCAAGUAAGUCCCUUGGGAAAUCUGGCAGCUUAACUGUCAGGCUGCUAGGGGAUACUGCUAGGCUUGGGACCGGGAGAGGUGAGAGGUACCUUGGGGGUAGGGGUGAAAUCUUGUGAUCCUCGGGGGACCACCAGUGGCGAAGGCGUCUCACCAGAACGGGUCCGACGGUAAGGGACGAAAGCUAGGGGCACGAACCGGAUUAGAUACCCGGGUAGUCCUAGCCGUAAACGAUGCUCGCUAGGUGUCAGUCACGGUGCGACCGUGAUUGGUGCCGUAGGGAAGCCGUGAAGCGAGCCACCUGGGAAGUAUGGCCGCAAGGCUGAA